CCUACGGGGGGCUGCAGUGGGGAAUAUUGCACAAUGGGCGCAAGCCUGAUGCAGCCAUGCCGCGUGUGUGAAGAAGGCCUUCGGGUUGUAAAGCACUUUCGCCGGGGAGGAAGGCGUUAAGAUUAAUAACCUUGGCGAUUGACGUUACCCGCAGAAGAAGCACCGGCUAACUCCGUGCCAGCAGCCGCGGUAAUACGGAGGGUGCAAGCGUUAAUCGGAAUUACUGGGCGUAAAGCGCACGCAGGCGGUCUGUCAAGUCGGAUGUGAAAUCCCCGGGCUCAACCUGGGAACUGCAUUCGAAACUGGCAGGCUAGAGUCUUGUAGAGGGGGGUAGAAUUCCAGGUGUAGCGGUGAAAUGCGUAGAGAUCUGGAGGAAUACCGGUGGCGAAGGCGGCCCCCUGGACAAAGACUGACGCUCAGGUGCGAAAGCGUGGGGAGCAAACAGGAUUAGAUACCCGAGUAGUC
rnacentral:rRNA from 1 species